UCAGAAUGAACGCUGGCGGCGUGCUUAACACAUGCAAGUCGCACGAGAACGCUUCAGCUUGCUGAAGUAAGUAAAGUGGCGCACGGGUGAGUAACGCANGGGUAAUCUACCCUUGAAUUGGGGAUAACCCGCCGAAAGGCGGGCUAAUACCGAAUGACAUCUUGAAAACUUAUGUUUUCAGGAUCAAAGGUGGCCUCUACAUGUAAGCUAUUGUUUGGGGAUGAGCCCGCGUACCAUUAGCUUGUUGGUAGGGUAAUGGCCUACCAAGGCUACGAUGGUUAGCUGGUCUGAGAGGAUGAUCAGCCACACUGGAACUGACACACGGUCCAGACUCUACGGGAGGCAGCAGUGAGGAAUUUUGCGCAAUGGGGGAAACCCUGACGCAGCAACGCCGCGUGAGUGAUGAAGGCUUUCGGGUCGUAAAGCUCUGUCAAGUGGGAAGAACUCAUAUGGUGUUAAUACUGCCAUAUGUUGACGGUACCACUGAAGGAAGCACCGGCUAACUCCGUGCCAGCAGCCGCGGUAAUACGGGGGGUGCGAGCGUUAUUCGGAAUUACUGGGCGUAAAGAGCGCGUAGGCGGUCUUUUAAGUCAGGUGUGAAAGCCCGGGGCUCAACCCCGGAAGUGCACUUGAAACUAAAAGACUUGAGUAUGGGAGAGGGAAGUGGAAUUCCUGGUGUAGCGGUGAAAUGCGUAGAUAUCAGGAGGAACAUCGGUGGCGAAGGCGACUUCCUGGACCAAUA
rnacentral:rRNA from 1 species